AUUGAACGCUGGCGGCAGGCUUAACACAUGCAAGUCGAGCGGGGGAGGUUGCUUCGGUAACUGACCUAGCGGCGGACGGGUGAGUAAUGCUUAGGAAUCUGCCAUUUAGUGGGGGACAACAUUCCGAAAGGAAUGCUAAUACCGCAUACGUCCUACGGGAGAAAGCAGGGGAUCUUCGGACCUUGCGCUAAAUGAUGAGCCUAAGUCGGAUUAGCUAGUUGGUGGGGUAAAGGCCUACCAAGGCGACGAUCUGUAGCGGGUCUGAGAGGAAGAUCCGCAAUACUGGGACUGGUACACGGCCCAGUAUCCUACGGGAGGGAGCAGUGGGGAAUAUUGGACAAUGGGCGGAAUCCUGAUCCAGCCAUGCCGCGUUUGUGAACAAGGCCUUAUGGUUGUAAAGCACUUUAAGCGAGGAGGAGGCUACCAGUAUUAAUACUACUGGAUAGUGGACGUUACUCGCAGAAUAAGCACCGGCUAACUCUGUGCCAGCAGCCGCUGUAAGAC
rnacentral:rRNA from 1 species